rnacentral:tRNA from 1 species
UAAUAGAAAGCGAAAAACUCGCUUACGGUUUCGACCCGUGGGGUGGUAGUGAGAGUCUGCCUCUGUUAA